CUGGCGGCGGCCUACACAUGCAAGUCGAGCGGUUGACGGGAGCUUGCUCCCUGAUUCAGCGGCGGACGGGUGAGUAAUGCCUAGGAAUCUGCCUAUUAGUGGGGGACAACGUUUCGAAAGGAACGCUAAUACCGCAUACGUCCUACGGGAGAAAGCAGGGGACCUUCGGGCCUUGCGCUAAUAGAUGAGCCUAGGUCGGAUUAGCUAGUUGGUGGGGUAAUGGCUCACCAAGGCGACGAUCCGUAACUGGUCUGAGAGGAUGAUCAGUCACACUGGAACUGAGACACGGUCCAGACUCCUACGGGAGGCAGCAGUGGGGAAUAUUGGACAAUGGGCGAAAGCCUGAUCCAGCCAUGCCGCGUGUGUGAAGAAGGUCUUCGGAUUGUAAAGCACUUUAAGUUGGGAGGAAGGGCAGUAAAUUAAUACUUUGUUGUUUUGACGUUACCGACAGAAUAAGCACCGGCUAACUCUGUGCCAGCAGCCGCGGUAAU
rnacentral:rRNA from 1 species